GCGCACGCAGGCGGUCUGUUAAGUCAGAUGUGAAAUCCCCGGGCUUAACCUGGGAACUGCAUUUGAAACUGGCAGGCUUGAGUCUCGUAGAGGGGGGUAGAAUUCCAGGUGUAGCGGUGAAAUGCGUAGAGAUCUGGAGGAAUACCGGUGGCGAAGGCGGCCCCCUGGACGAAGACUGACGCUCAGGUGCGAAAGCGUGGGGAGCAAACAGGAUUAGAUACCCUGGUAGUCCACGCCGUAAACGAUGUCGACUUGGAGGUUGUGCCCUUGAGGCGUGGCUUCCGGAGCUAACGCGUUAAGUCGACCGCCUGGGGAGUACGGCCGCAAGGUUAAAACUCAAAUGAAUUGACGGGGGCCCGCACAAGCGGUGGAGCAUGUGGUUUAAUUCGAUGCAACGCGAAGAACCUUACCUGGCCUUGACAUCCAGAGAACUUAGCAGAGAUGCUUUGGUGCCUUCGGGAACUCUGAGACAGGUGCUGCAUGGCUGUCGUCAGCUCGUGUUGUGAAAUGUUGGGUUAAGUCCCGCAACGAGCGCAACCCUUAUCCUUUGUUGCCAGCGGUUCGGCCGGGAACUCAAAGGAGACUGCCGGUGAUAAACCGGAGGAAGGUGGGGAUGACGUCAAGUCAUC
rnacentral:rRNA from 1 species